CUUUCGGGGUACACGAGCGGCGAACGGGUGAGUAACACGUGGGUGAUCUGCCCUGCACUUCGGGAUAAGCCUGGGAAACUGGGUCUAAUACCGGAUAUGACCUCCUAUCGCAUGGUGGGUGGUGGAAAGAUUUAUCGGUGCAGGAUGGGCCCGCGGCCUAUCAGCUUGUUGGUGGGGUAAUGGCCUACCAAGGCGACGACGGGUAGCCGACCUGAGAGGGUGACCGGCCACACUGGGACUGAGACACGGCCCAGACUCCUACGGGAGGCAGCAGUGGGGAAUAUUGCACAAUGGGCGAAAGCCUGAUGCAGCGACGCCGCGUGAGGGAUGACGGCCUUCGGGUUGUAAACCUCUUUCAGCAGGGACGAAGCGCAAGUGACGGUACCUGCAGAAGAAGCACCGGCUAACUACGUGCCAGCAGCCGCGGUAAUACGGAGG
rnacentral:rRNA from 1 species